rnacentral:rRNA from 1 species
UACGUAGGGUGCGAGCGUUGUCCGGAAUUACUGGGCGUAAAGAGCUCGUAGGUGGUUUGUCGCGUUGUUCGUGAAAACCGGGGGCUUAACCCUCGGCGUGCGGGCGAUACGGGCAGACUGGAGUACUGCAGGGGAGACUGGAAUUCCUGGUGUAGCGGUGAAAUGCGCAGAUAUCAGGAGGAACACCGAUGGCGAAGGCAGGUCUCUGGGCAUUAACUGACGCUGAGGAGCGAAAGCAUGGGGAGCGAACAGG